CUGGUUGAUUCUGCCAGUAGUCAUAUGCUUGUCUCAAAGAUCAAGCCAUGCAUGUCUAAGUAUAAGCAAUUAUACAGCGAAACUGCGAAUGGCUCAUUAUAUAAGUUAUCGUUUAUUUGAUAGUACCUUACUACUUGGAUAACCGUGGUAAUUCUAGAGCUAAUACAUGCUAAAAAUCCCAACUUCGGAAGGGAUGUAUUUAUUAGAUUAAAAACCAAUGCCCUUCGGGGCUCCUUGGUGAUUCAUGAUAACCCUUCGAAUCGCAUGGCCUUGUGCCGGCGAUGGUUCAUUCAAAUUUCUUCCCUAUCAACUUUCGAUGUUUGGGUAUUGGCCAAACAUGGUUGCAACGGGUAACGGAGGGUUAGGGCUCGACCCCGGAGAAGGAGCCUGAGAAACGGCUACUACAUCCAAGGAAGGCAGCAGGCGCGCAAAUUACCCAAUCCCGACACGGGGAGGUAGUGACAAUAAAUACUGAUACAGGGCUCUUUUGGGUCUUGUAAUUGGAAUGAGUACAAUUUAAAUCCCUUAACGAGGAACAAUUGGAGGGCAAGUCUGGUGCCAGCAGCCGCGGUAAUUCCAGCUCCAAUAGCGUAUAUUAAAGUUGUUGUGGUUAAAAAGCUCGUAGUUGAACCUUGGGCCUGGCUGGCCGGUCCGCCUCACCGCGUGUACUGGUCCGGCCGGGCCUUUCCCUCUGUGGAACCCCAUGCCCUUCACUGGGCGUGGCGGGGAAACAGGACUUUUACUUUGAAAAAAUUAGAGUGCUCCAGGCAGGCCUAUGCUCGAGUACAUUAGCAUGGAAUAAUAGAAUAGGACGUGUGGUUCUAUUUUGUUGGUUUCUAGGACCGCCGUAAUGAUUAAUAGGGACAGUCGGGGGCAUCAGUAUUCAAUUGUCAGAGGUGAAAUUCUUGGAUUUAUUGAAGACUAACUACUGCGAAAGCAUUUGCCAAGGAUGUUUUCAUUAAUCAGGAACGAAAGUUAGGGGAUCGAAGACGAUCAGAUACCGUCGUAGUCUUAACCAUAAACUAUGCCGACUAGGGAUCGGACGAUGUUAUAUUUUGACUCGUUCGGCACCUUACGAGAAAUCAAAGUGCUU
rnacentral:rRNA from 1 species